AUUGAACGCUGGCGGCAGGCUUAACACAUGCAAGUCGAACGAGUGGCGGACGGGUGAGUAAUGCUUGGGAAUCUAGCUUAUGGAGGGGGAUAACUACGGGAAACUGUAGCUCAUACCGCGUACCAUACGAUGAGCCCAAGUGGGAUUAGGUAGUGGGUGGGGUAAAGGCUCACCAAGCCGACGAUCGCUAGCUGGUCUGAGCGGAUGACAGGCCACACUGGGACUGAGACACGGCCCAGAUUCCUACGUGAGGCAGCAGUGGGGAAUAUUGCGCAAUGGGGGCAACCUGACGCAGCCAUGCCGCGUGAAUGAAGAAGGCCUUCGGGUUGUAAAGUUCUUUCGGUAGCGAGGCGUUAACUACAGAAGAAGCACCGGCUAACUCCGUGCCAGCCGCCGCGGUAAUAC
rnacentral:rRNA from 1 species